UAGGGAAUAUUGCUUAAUGGGCGAAAGCCUGAAGCAGCAACGCCGCGUGUGUGAAGAAGGCCUUCGGGUUGUAAAACACUUUUCGAGGGGAUGAGGAAGGACAGUACCCUCAGAAUAAGCCUCGGCUAACUACGUGCCAGCAGCCGCGGUAAAACGUAGGAGGCGAGCGUUAUCCGGAUUUACUGGGCGUAAAGCGCGUGUAGGCGGCACGGCAAGUUGGAUGUGAAAGCUCCCGGCUUAACUGGGAGAGGUCGUUCAAAACUGCCGAGCUAGAGUGCGGGAGAGGGAGGUGGAAUUCCGGGUGUAGUGGUGAAAUGCGUAGAUAUCCGGAGGAAAACCAGUGGCGAAAGGGGCCUCCUGGUCCGCAACUGACGCUCAGACGCGAGAGCUAGGGUAGCAAACGG
rnacentral:rRNA from 1 species